GCCGAAGUGGCGGAAUGGCAGACGCGCACGACUCAAAAUCGUGUGAGGAAACUCAUGAGGGUUCGACUCCCUCCUUCGGCACAA
rnacentral:tRNA from 2 species